rnacentral:sRNA from 1 species
GGGGCUGUCGGCUGCGCGUUGCGCGCUGUCCCAGGUCCGAAACCAGUGCCCCAGGCGGCGAGGAGAGCGGUGCCUGGCAGGGAUGCUGCGGGCGGGAGCACCAACCGGGGACUUACCCCGGGCAGAAGUCCACACCGGGACCACCAUCAUGGCAGUGGAGUUUGACGGGGGCGUUGUGAUGGGUUCUGAUUCCCGAGUGUCUGCAGGGUGAGUAAAAGUGAAGAUGUAUGCGUUUGGAAAGAAGCUAAUGGCCUCAAAUACACACUUUCCUUACCCAUUCAUGAAGACUGGCGAACUGGAGCUUUGGAGGAAUGGAGUUGACCUUCCCCAAAAGCCACUAUGAUAAGCUAUUUGGUGGGUGCUUGGGUCUCUGAAUUUGUGGAGGAGGAUCUGGGGUCUGAAUGUGUAUGUGACCUGUCCCAGUAGUGUACAGGGAUGAGUAAAGGAAUAGGGUCUGAGAGGGGGACAGGAGAUAGAUUUUUGAGGGUCUUCUUUCCAUCUGUGCUUAGGGAUCAAAAAGAUGAUUCUGUCAAGCAGAUAUGUGGUUUCUCAUUUACCAUAUAUUGAACUAUUUUGUCUCUUCUCCCACUCCUAACCAAUUUCCUCACAUGCAAAAUGAGUAUAUGGGGUUAGGUCAAUAUUACUUACAUUAUGUUCCAUAGAACAUAACUCUCUCAAGAUUGUUAAUAGCAAAGAAAAUUGAUGAGGCAUAUUUUUCUUACCUUAGCAUUUUUUGCUUUGUUAUAAAAUCUAAGCCUGAAAAAUAAGCCUAAUUUUGAUUAACAUCUGCAGUGAUUAAUAAUAUCUGAGACAAUUAUUUGCCUCCUGCUUUAAUCCAAGUAUUAAACUUCAUGCUAUUCUCUCGUCAAAUAAAUUUGAGAGACAUUGAACGAUCACCCUCAAAAAUUCCUGAGUUCUGGUUGGGUGCAGUGGCUCACAUCUAUAAUCUCAGCACUUUGGGAUGCCGAGGUGGGCAGAUAUUUGAGGUCAGGAGUUCGAGACCAGCCUGGCCAACAUGUUGGGACCUUGUCUCUACUGAAAAUACAAACCUUAGCUGGGCUUGGUGGUGGGUGCCUGUAAUCCCAGCUAUUCGGGAGGCUGAGGCAGGAGAAUCACUUGAACCAGGGAGGCGAAGUUUGCAGUGAGCCCAAGAUUGCUCCACUGCACUCCAGCCUGGGUGACAGAGCGAGACUGUCUCAAAAAAAAAAAAAAAAAAACUGAGUUUUAACUUGGUGACUGUUGACUCCCUCCUGACAGCGAGGCGGUGGUGAACCGAGUGUUUGACAAGCUGUCCCCCCUGCACGAGCGCAUCUACUGUGCACUCUCUGGUUCAGCUGCUGAUGCCCAAGCCGUGGCCGACAUGGCCGCCUACCAGCUGGAGCUCCAUGGGUAUGAAGCUCUGGAGUUCUGACUCCCCACCCACUAGAGCUCCCCCAACCUGCAUGAAUCCCUGUACAGUGUGCUGUUCCAGGAGCUGGACACUGGGAAAUGGAAGAGUCUUGUUUUGGCUCUUGCUGGCACUUGAAUCUGUCAGUUUCUGCAUCUGUAAAGUGGAGAUAAUAUAGUACCUCAUGAGACGGUUAUUUUGAGAAUCACGUUCUAUAUGUGAACACAGUUUAAAAGCUGUAAAUCACUAUCCUGAUAUAAAUAAUCAGGAAGAAGGUGAUAUUGUGACCCACCAUAAUAUCAGGCAGUUACCAUACGAGAAAUCAAGGUCGUUGGGACGGAAGUAACCUUAUCUGCUUUUCCCCAUAAGGGCAGGGCCCUUGCAGCCAAAAGAAAGUUAUGUGGGUGGGGCUGAGCAAAAGAGUGAGCAAUUGAAAGCUUCUUACCAGUUGGUGGUGUGGGACUCUGGUUCCCCUGUACAUAUGGGAGGGAGGCUGCAGUUUGAGCUAUUGCAGUUACAGUUUUCAGGGGUCGUUUAGCAGGGAUGAUGGUAACAGUAUAGGAGAGUGAGACUUAAAAUUCUAUCAACCUUUAUUCCUAAUAUUUCCCUCAGGAUAGAACUGGAGGAACCUCCACUUGUUUUGGCUGCUGCAAAUGUGGUGAGAAAUAUCAGUUAUAAAUAUCGAGAGGACUUGUCUGCACAUCUCAUGGUAGCUGGCUGGGACCAACGUGAAGGGGGUCAGGUAUAUGGAACCCUGGGAGGAAUGCUGACUCGACAGCCUUUUGCCAUUGGUGGCUCCGGCAGCACCUUUAUCUAUGGUUAUGUGGAUGCAGCAUAUAAGCCAGGCAUGUCUCCCGAGGAGUGCAGGCGCUUCACCACAGACGGUAACCAGCCAAGUGGAAGGGUACCUGGGGAGGGCUUUUAAACAUGGGAAGGAAGUAGAUUAUGAGGAACAGGAAGAGAAAUACAGGGGUGACCAUUUAAGUUAAUGCCGGGCCUGGUACACUUUUAAGAGUGAAAAGGGGCAGGACAAAUGCAAAGCUCAAUGGGGCUCUUGGGCAAUACGGAUAAACCAGGGCUGUUCUGAGUAAAUCAAAUGAGGAUACACAGUCACUGUGAGAACCAGUGGUGUGCUAAGCACAGUGGCUCACACCUGUAAUGCCAACAAUUUGGGAGGCUGAGGCAGGAGGAUUACUUGAGCCCAGGAGUUUGAGGCCAGCCUAGGCAAGAUGGUGAAACCCUGUCUCCACAAAAAACAAUAAAAAAAAGUGAAAAAAA